CGACCCGGAACUCCGAAGAAAUCGCGGUAAGCCGGAUUCGGAUCCGCGGGGGAUCCGGAUCCGGAACGACUCGCGACCCGAACUUGAUGAUCCGGCAUGCGGCCCCGCACGUGCGCCUGCAAACUUCUACCAUUUUGAUUUCCCGUUUCGUGCGACUUUGGCGGGUCGUUGUUGAACUUGGAUUUCGAUCGCUGCAUGAUUCCAAAUGUCUCUUCUUUUGGGACCGGAAACCGACCAACUCUCAGCGUGUGGACGAGCUAGAUGAUGCGCGUGUCCUGAGAAUCCACCGUGCGUUUCUUAGUGACGGUGAUCUUCAUUGCAAAGCGAUGGGGUUUACCCUGAAAGAAGGACGUUCUUGUUUGGAGGAGGUCGUACCUGUUCUUGUUCACCCUCCUACCCUCCUCAGUGUGCUUUUCUUGCUUUGAUGCUGUAGUCCUCUCCUUUUCCUCCGGAAUUCUUCAGUACUGUAAAAGGAAAGACGGGAGCAUGCCAGUUGUGCUUGGUUUUUAGAACGGAACACAUUCUGUCGCCACACGCGGCGCACUCCCUGUUUCAUGCCACUGGCCUACAUGGGAUGUUGUUCACAAAUUCAUAUGAAGUUUGCUGAUUCCUUUUGUCUGCCUCUCUCUUUCCAUUGGAAGAUUUGCAGUCACAUUUCCUGGCAUCAGCUGUAUAAUCUUUCUACUGUCGUGUGCAUGGUAAAAGAACUCACCAGGUGGUGUGAUUAGCUUAAGCUUAUUCGAGCGCUCAAGAUUCGCAGCCUUGUAUGAGACAUCGUCCGUGGAUCUGGAUCCUGGCUCUGCAUGUCGGGCCAUAACUAUAGGUGCUUCAUCGGCAGAUUCAGUUCUGGAUGAGCUUCAGAAUCAUCGAUUACAAGUCCUGUUAUCUCUAUGCUAUGUGUGUGAUAUAUAUAGCUACAGAGUCGAAGGUUCUCUUAAUGCUGAAGAUGUUACAGUUUAGCAACCUCUUACAGGUGGGUUUGAAGUCCCCCUUCAGAUCAUUCUGUAACUGCUGCUUUGAGGGAAAGUAAUCAUCAGAUGUGCGUAAAUGUCAAUGAAGUCUCCCAACUCUCCUCAAGUCAAGAUGGGCAACUGCAUUAUUGGCAAAGAUGUGUCCUCUUGUCCUGGCCAUCUAUAUUAGCAAAUUUACGAAACUACUCGUGUCUUUUAGGAAGUCAAUUGGUCCAAGCUUUGUGGCUUUAGUGUAUGCUGAGACCAUUGAAUUUUUCUUUAGCUUUUGCGUGCACAUGCAGGUCAAACUCUACUAACCCAGCAAAUUGCAAAUUGAACAUUCUUUAGUAAAGGUGCAAGCUUUACCUCA